rnacentral:rRNA from 1 species
AACGAACGCUGGCGGCAUGCCUAACACAUGCAAGUCGAACGAGACCUUCGGGUCUAGUGGCGCACGGGUGCGUAACGCGUGGGAACCUGCCCUUAGGUUCGGAAUAACUCCCCGAAAGGGGUGCUAAUACCGGAUAAUGUCUUCGGACCAAAGAUUUAUCGCCUUUGGAUGGGCCCGCGUUGGAUUAGCUAGUUGGUAGGGUAAAAGCCUACCAAGGCGACGAUCCAUAGCUGGUCUGGGAGGAUGAUCAGCCACACUGGGACUGAGACACGGCCCAGACUCCUACGGGAGGCAGCAGUGGGGAAUAUUGGACAAUGGGCGAAAGCCUGAUCCAGCAAUGCCGCGUGAGGGAUGAAGGCCUUAGGGUUGUAAAGCUCUUUUACCCGGGAUGAUAAUGACAGUACCGGGAGAAUAAGCUCCGGCUAACUCCGUG